rnacentral:rRNA from 1 species
GAUGAACGCUAGCUACAGGCUUAACACAUGCAAGUCGAGGGGAAACGACAUCGAAAGCUUGCUUUUGAUGGGCGUCGACCGGCGCACGGGUGAGUAACGCGUAUCCAACCUGCCCACCACUUGGGGAUAACCUUGCGAAAGUAAGACUAAUACCCAAUGAUAUCCCACGAAGGCAUCCGAAUGGGAUUAAAGAUUUAUCGGUGAUGGAUGGGGAUGCGUCUGAUUAGCUUGUUGGCGGGGUAACGGCCCACCAAGGCUACGAUCAGUAGGGGUUCUGAGAGGAAGGUCCCCCACAUUGGAACUGAGACACGGUCCAAACUCCUACGGGAGGCAGCAGUGAGGAAUAUUGGUCAAUGGGCGGAAGCCUGAACCAGCCAAGUAGCGUGCAGGAAGACAGCCCUAUGGGUUGUAAACUGCUUUCAGUCGGGAAUAAUUCAUCGGUCGUGACCGACGUUGCAGGUACCGUCAUAAGAAGGACCGGCUAAUUCCGUG